GAUGAACGCUGGCGGCGUGCUUAACACAUGCAAGUCGAACGAUGAAGCCCAGCUUGCUGGGUGGAUUAGUGGCGAACGGGUGAGUAACACGUGAGUAACCUGCCCUUAACUCUGGGAUAAGCCUGGGAAACUGGGUCUAAUACCGGAUAGGAGCGUCCACCGCAUGGUGGGUGUUGAAAAGAUUUAUCGGUUUUGGAUGGACUCGCGGCCUAUCAGCUUGUUGGUGAGGUAAUGGCUCACCAAGGCGACGACGGGUAGCCGGCCUGAGAGGGUGACCGGCCACACUGGGACUGAGACACGGCCCAGACUCCUACGGGAGGCAGCAGUGGGGAAUAUUGCACAAUGGGCGCAAGCCUGAUGCAGCGACGCCGCGUGAGGGAUGACGGCCUUCGGGUUGUAAACCUCUUUCAGUAGGGAAGAAGCGAAAGUGACGGUACCUGCAGAAGAAGCACCGGCUAACUACGUG
rnacentral:rRNA from 1 species